GGAGGAGGGACCAGCCAGAAAUAUUAUCUGGCCACAGGUGAGCAGGAGGAGGGAAAAGAGCUGGACAGAAAGAGUUGGACGGUGUGAAACGGAGGACCGGGGUGGGGGGAACGAUGGACCUGGGGAGCAGCAUUACACCUGUCUGUGGUCUAAGAACAAUGAAACAUUGUGGGACGUGCAGGACCCGAGCAGACCUACGACGCUGUCCCAGGGCUGAGCUCCAGCUUCUUCUACCAGAGCUUCUACCACCGGACCCCGGCGCAAUAAGUUCAAAUAUCCAUUAUGUAGAUAUUGUGAUUUGUAAUUUUUUUUUUUUAUAUUGGACUAAAAAUAAAGCAUUACAAUAGUCUCAAC